AACGAACGCUGGCGGCAGGCUUAACACAUGCAAGUCGAGCGCUCUCUUCGGAGGGAGCGGCAGACGGGUGAGUAACGCGUGGGAACCUACCCUGGGGUACGGAAUAACUCAUGGAAACGUGAGCUAAUACCGUAUACGUCCCCCUUUAGAGAUAUUGGGGGAGAAAGAUUUAUCGCCCUUGGAUGGGCCCGCGUUGGAUUAGCUUGUUGGUGAGGUAAUGGCUCACCAAGGCUACGAUCCAUAGCUGUUCUGAGAGGAAGAUCAGCCACACUGGGACUGAGACACGGCCCAGACUCCUACGGGAGGCAGCAGUGGGGAAUCUUGGACAAUGGGCGCAAGCCUGAUCCAGCCAUGCCGCGUGAGUGAUGAAGGCCUUAGGGUUGUAAAGCUCUUUCACCGGUGACGAUAAUGACGGUAGCCGGAGAAGAAGCCCCGGCUA
rnacentral:rRNA from 1 species